AUGGCUGGUGAAAAAGUUGAGAAGCCAAAUACUAAAGAGAAGAAACCUGAAGCCAAGAAGGCUGAUGCUGGUGCCAAGGUGAAAAAGGGUAACCUCAAGGCUAAAAAGCCCAAGAAGGGGAAGCCCCAUUGCGGCCGCAAUCCUGUCCUUGUCAGAGGAAUUGGCAGGUAUUCCCGAUCUGCCACGUAUGCCAGAAAGGCCAUGUACAAGAAGAAGUACUCAGCCGCUAAAUCCAAGGGUGAAAAAAAGGAGAAAGUUCUUGCAACUGUUACAAAGCCAUUUGGUGGUGACAAGAACAGUGGUACCUGGGUGGUUAAACUUCAUUGCCACCUCAACCAAAAUUGA